AUUGAACGCUGGCGGCAGGCCUAACACAUGCAAGUCGAGCGGAUGAAGGGAGCUUGCUCCUGGAUUCAGCGGCGGACGGGUGAGUAAUGCCUGGAAUCUGCCUGGUAGUGGGGGAUAACGUCCGGAAACGGGCGCUAAUACCGCAUACGUCCUGAGUGAGAAAGUGGGGGAUCUUCGGGCCUCACGCUAUCAGAUGAGCCUAGGUCGGGUUAGCUAGUUGGUGGGGUAACGGCCUACCAAGGCGACGAUCCGUAACGGGUCUGAGAGGAUGAUCAGUCACACUGGAACUGAGACACGGCCCAGGCUCCUACGGGAGGCAGCAGUGGGGAAUAUUGGAAACUGGGCGAAAGCCUGAUCCAGCCAUGCCGGGUGUGUGAAGAAGGUCUUCGGAUUGUAAAGCACUUUAAGUGGGGAGGAAGGGCAGUAAGUUAAUACAUUGCUGUUUUGACGUUACCAAUAGAAUAAGCACCGGCUAACUUCGU
rnacentral:rRNA from 1 species